UUUGGACUUUUUAAGCUUGUAGAUGUGUUAGUGAGGUCUCAAGGAGCUUGGGAAUGCUUCGUUGGGUGAAUUUGGACGUCGGGAAAGCAAGGUUCAAAGUUGGCCGAUUCUAGAUUGUGUGGACAGGUGAUACGUACUCCGAGGACGAGCGUAUUCACUCGAGGCAGGGGGGCUACGACCCUUCCACUUAUCAGUUCUAGUUGCUUAGCGGUUGCGGUGGUCUUCCCAGAGGGCGUCCCGGCAUUUCUGACAGAUACUCACCAAUGUAGGGUCACCUUCGGGUGUAUUAUUGUCGUAUUAUUAUCCUUGGACUGCUGUAGUCUUGCUCUGAACUUAGUGUCUCACUUACGCUAGUACUUGUUUUAAUACUUUGUAUGCUAGGUUUUAAUUUAUUCGUACUUUUACAUUACUUUCUCUAGCU